rnacentral:lncRNA from 1 species
GUAAUCUUCUGGAUCUUGUAUUUAUUCUUGUUUUAGGGAAGCUGCUGGAAGACAGAUGACUUCAUUUCCAGUUAUUUCUAAUGUUGUGUACAAAAUAUUUCAUUUGCAAUUUUUAGCCUUUCUCUUUUUAUGGAUAUAAAUGUAUAUAUGUCAAUGAUUGUAAUUUCAAAGUUAGAGAAUGGACAAUAAUAGUUAUAUAAAUAUGGUUUUACAGUGCAGUUUGAGAGGAAGCAGGCACUAAAAUCCCUGCUCAGGCCACUCACCAGCCAUGUCCAAGAGAAUCAAUCUAACUUCUCUGUGGCUAAGAUUCCUUAUCAAGAAAGUGGAAAUAAUACUGAUUUCUACUUUAUAGUCUUGCUGUCAAAGAUUAAGUGAGUUGCAUAGAAAGUGCUUAGAACAAUGGUGAGUGUAUUGCAAGAACUAUAUAAAUGUUUGUUGUUUAUGGGGGAAGGAUCAUGAAGGGGUCCCCAUGGUGUCUAAUAAUAGCCCUUCAAGAAUGUGUUUCUAUUUUUCAGCACACAAAAUAUUAGGAAUUCAAUUCAUAAAAAUUGAAGUCUCCUACCUUCUGUCACCAGGUCAGCUGAUGUUCAGUGGAGCUAGACGGGGGGAAUGUUGGCUUACCUGCCACACAAUAGGGGAUUCUUUUCAGCAAUGACCAAACUCACAGGUGACUUUCCCAACCGGAAAUAUUAGGGAAUCAUGUUCCCUCCAUUCCUACAUGUGAGCAGAGCUCAGGGCACAGAUCUGGCAGCAGAGAAGUGUCAGGCUCAGAGCCCUCAGAGAGGAACAGGAAACUGUGGAUGUACACACAGAGAGAGAGAGAGAGAGAGAGAGAGAGAGAGAAGUCAUUUUCUGGGACAUGAGAAUUUUUCUUUGGCAUGCAUUCAGAAGAGCACUUUGGAGGAGAAUUUGAAGAUCAUUUACCAUGGUAGACAAUGACUUGGAUAUUGAAAUGUGAACUUUUGAGAUAUUACAGAUAAAAUCUGAGGAUUCUCAACCCUGAUGUUGGAAAGCGUCCGACCCCCAUGGACAAUGGAAUAAGCACAAUGCAAGGGACCCAGAAAAUGGCCCACAGAUGAGUACCACGAGGAGGAGGCCAUAUGUAAACCAGGAAGAGGACCCUCAGCAGAACCUGGCCAUGCUGACUAUGUAAUGGCAGUCAGAACUGACUAGUAUCCAAAGUUUCACCGAAGUACCUCAUGCGAUGUUGCUACAUCUGUUCUUAACUUAAUGGCAGUCCCCAGAGAGCUAAAGGGUUGCUAGGGAAAGCAAGACUACACAACAGCCUUGACUACAGAGACAGCAUCUGGGUAUGCGUGGAAGAUGGAACGAACCUGCUUCAGACUACCUGGGACACUGCUGUGACUCACAUAUGUCAUAUUAAAACUCAUUAUCUGUACCUGUUUUCCUG